CAGUCGCCGCGGUAAUACGUAGGGGGCAAGCGUUAUCCGGAUUUACUGGGUGUAAAGGGAGCGCAGACGGCUCUGCAAGUCUGAAGUGAAAGCCCGCGGCUUAACCGCGGGACUGCUUUGGAAACUGCAAGGCUUGAGUAUCGGAGGGGCAGGCGGAAUUCCUAGUGUAGCGGUGAAAUGCGUAGAUAUUAGGAAGAACACCGGUGGCGAAGGCGGCCUGCUGGACGAAAACUGACGUUGAGGCUCGGAGGCGUGGGGAGCAAACAGGAUUAGAUACCCCAGUAGUCCCUGUCUCUUAUAC
rnacentral:rRNA from 1 species